CCUGCCCCUAGAAGUAUCGUAGGUGUAGCCACUGUGUCACAUGUGCGUCAGGAGAUGACAGAGAGGAGAAAGGUUACAUCUACACUUAGUGUCCUGACUUAUGAACACCUGAAUGAUUAGUAUCCUAACACU
ensembl:snoRNA small nucleolar RNA SNORA17